UACGGGGGGAGCAAGCGUUGUUCGGAUUUACUGGGCGUAAAGGGCGCGUAGGCGGCCACCGCAAGUCAGUUGUGAAAGCUCUGGGCUUAACCCAGAAAGGUCAACUGAUACUGCGGGGCUAGAGUGCAGAAGGGGCAACUGGAAUUCUCGGUGUAGCGGUGAAAUGCGUAGAUAUCGAGAGGAACACCAAUGGCGAAGGCAGCCCCCUGGGUCAACACUGACGCUCAUGCACGAAAGCGUGGGGAGCAAACAGG
rnacentral:rRNA from 1 species